rnacentral:rRNA from 1 species
CACGUAGUUAGCCGGGGCUUCUUAGUCAGGUACCGUCUUCUUUCUUCCCUGCUGAUAGGGCUUUACAUACCGAAAUACUUCUUCACCCACGCGGCGUCGCUGCAUCAGGGUUUCCCCCAUUGUGCAAUAUCCCCCACUGCUGCCUCCCGUAGGAGUCUGGGCCGUGUCUCAGUCCCAAUGUGGCCGUCCGCCCUCUCAGGCCGGCUACCGAUCGUCGCUUUGGUGGGCCCUUACCCCGCCAACUGGCUAAUCGGACGCGGAUCCAUCGCUUGCCGGAUUUCUCCUUUUCGCACUCUGCCAUGCGGCACCGUGCGCUUAUGCGGUAUUAGCGGCUGUUUCCAGCCGGUAUCCCCCUGCAUGCGGCAGGUUAUCCACGCGUUACUCACCCGUCCGCCACUCGGACAGACUUCACUAGGUUUCCGUCUGUCCCCGUUCGACUUGCAUGUGUUAGGCACGCCGCCAGCGUUCAUCCUGAGCCAGGAUCAAACUCU